CAAUAGCGUAUAUUAAAGUUGUUGCAGUUAAAAAGCUCGUAGUUGAACUUCAGGCUUGGCGGGGUGGUCUGCCUAACGGUAUGUACUAUCCGGCUGAGCCUUACCUCCUGGUGAGCCUGCAUGUCGUUUAUUCGGUGUGUAGGGGAACCAGGAAUUUUACUUUGAAAAAAUUAGAGUGUUCAAAGCAGGCAUAUGCCCGAAUAUAUUAGCAUGGAAUAAUAGAAUAGGACGUGCGGUUCUAUUUUGUUGGUUUCUAGGAUCGCCGUAAUGAUUAAUAGGGACGGUUGGGGGCAUUAGUAUUCAGUUGCUAGAGGUGAAAUUCUUAGAUUUACUGAAGACUAACUACUGCGAAAGCAUUUGCCAAGGACGUUUUCAUUAA
rnacentral:rRNA from 1 species